GGAAGUUUAGCUCAGCUGGGAGAGCAUCUGCCUUACAAGCAGAGGGUCAUAGGUUCGAGCCCUAUUACUCCCACCA
rnacentral:tRNA from 1 species